GGAUAUUUGUGUUAUUGCAAAUACUGGUGAAUUUCUCCGAACUUGCAUUUGACUCACAGCCCUGGGCUGAACCCUGAGCACGUUGUUCCCCUGUUUUCAGGGAAUCUUCAGAGGGCCUGGCUAAAUUCAUGAUUCAUGUGUUUAAACCACAAGCUCCUUGGAAAUAGAUUGAGGAUAUUAAAAUAGAUAAUGUAACCAGUUAAAACAACAACAACAAAAGCCUAGCAAACACCUGUGACCAGCAGUUGUAACUGAGUAUAUGUGGUGCAACCGUGGCAGGCUCACAGAAGUCAGAGUGGAUCACAAAUACUAAAUGCAUGUCAAGGGAGAUGCUGGCUCCUAUAAAUGUAGAGUGACAUGUUGAGUCACAGGUACGCGAACUCUAUAUAAAGGCAAAGCGUUACAUAGACAAGAGACUUGCCAUACUCUGUCUGAUCCGAGGUCCACCCAGCCCAGGACCCAGUGUCUGUCAGUGCGUGUCCAGCUGUGGGCUUCUCCAAAGCAUUCAGAGGACCUGCUUGAGCUCCUCCAUUGGAGUGGGAAGGAAAAUUCUCCUGCCUGGUAGUACUGCUGGCUGUGGC